AUUGUAUGGUGUUCCUAGUACUGCGGCAGCGCCCCUAACUAGACCCGCAACCUGAUUCUCACUGCAGGAGAUUAACAUUAUGGACAAGAUGGGACAACGCUCUGGGAGGUGGAUAAACCAGAUUAGAAAAAAACAAUCCUUUUUCUUCGAGAGAGAGUAGGAGGAGCUAAUGAUAAAACAAAAACAUUGUACAGAAAGAAGAAAAAUGAAAACAACUAGGAAUUGAUAUUUAUCACUAAGCAAUAGAAUGUUUAUCACAAUCAUCAAUUGUACAAUAACUUGUCCAUGAACAAUAAAGAUAUUA